rnacentral:tRNA from 1 species
UCCCUUGAGGACUAGUGGUUAGGCGACAGCGCUCUCACCUCUGUGGCCCGGGUUCGAUUCCUGGCCAGGGAA